GGACCCGCGGGCCGGGACCCCCCCCAGGCCAUGGCGGGGAGCGGCGGGGCCGGGGCGGCCCCUCGGGAGCACCGCCUGCAGCCCGGGGACACCCUGCAGGGGCUGGCGCUGCGCUACGGGGUCACGAUGGAGCAGAUCCAACGUGCCAACCGCCUCUACACCUCGGACACCAUUUUCCUGAAGCCCACCCUGCUCAUCCCGGCGGGAUCCCAGUCCCAGCCCCUCCAGGGGGACGAGCCCCAGGACAUCAUUCCCAACCCCCCGGAGCCCCCGGUCCCGUCCCGGCACGACCUCUCGGCCAUGGAAUUCCUGCGGCACCUGGACACCGAGAUCGGCCGCUCCAAGGCGGCCGCGGCGCAGCAGAUCCGGCACCGACACUCCGGCCCUGGUGAUUCCAGAGCAUCCCAGAGGAUUCCAGAGGGUCCCUCAUCCCCCCGGGAAGGGCCCCGGCUGGGCCCACGACCCCUCACCAGGACCCCCCGGGCGGCCGCGCUCCGGGACACAGAGGACGAGAUCUUCACCUUGUGACCCUGGGAAUGCUGGGAAUGGGACAGAUCUGCACCUGGUGACACUGGGAAUGGGACAGCAGGGACACUGGGAUGGGACACUGGGGACACCUGGGGUGUCCCAUUCCUGCCAGGAGAGGCUGGAAUUGGUCCUUGAGGGGAAUCCAGAUGUCCUGGGACAGCACGGACAGAGAACUGGGAACACUUCCCAUCCCAUUCCCACAUCCCUCCCACCAGCUCCAGGAGCUCCAGGAUCCCCUCUUCCCAAAUCCCAGCGCCGGGAGAGGCUGGAAUUGGGCACUUUCCAAGUCCUCGAGGAGAAUCCAAAGGUUCUGGGACGGCAGGAGCCGGGUGGACACUUCCCACCCCAUUCCCACACCCCUCCCACCAGCUCCAGGAUCCCCUUUUCCCCAAAUCCCAGGGGGGGGGGCAGGAAUUUGGGCCCCACUUUGGCCUUUUCUUGGAAAAUAAAUUAAUAAAUUAA